AUCUACUCGAAGCAGCCCAUCGGGGUCAACGAGGAGAUCACCUACGACUACAAGUUCCCCAUCGAGGACACCAAGAUCCCCUGCCUCUGCCGCACCGACAGCUGCCGCGGGACCCUCAACUGACGGCAACGUGGCCGACAACGGGGCGGACAACAUGGCGGACAUCAUGGCGGACAACAUGGCGGACAACAUGGCGGACAAGAUGGCGGACAAUGGGGUGUCAAGAUGGCGGACAACAUGGCGGACAACAGGGCGGACAGCAUGGUGUCAUGGCGAACAACAUGGCGGACAACAUGGCGGACAACGGGGUGUCAAGAUGGCGGACAACAUGGCAGACAACAUGGCUGACAACAUGGUGGACAACAUGGCGGACAACAUGGCAGACAGCGGGGUGUCAUGGCGGACAACAUGGCGGACAUCAUGGUGCCAUGGCGGCCAUCAUGGUGGACAACAUGGCAGACAACAUGGCGGACAACAUGGUGGACAAUGGGGUGUCAAGAUGGCGGACAACAUGGCGGACAACAUGGCGGCCAUCAUGGCGGACAACAGGGUGUCAUGGCAGACAUCAUGGUGUCAUGGCGGACAAA
rnacentral:lncRNA from 1 species